CCUCCCCGGCCAUCACCCUCUCUCUUUUCUUUUUUUCUUUCUUUUAUUUGCUUUAUCUCUAUUUUCUUUCUUUUCUCUCUUUUCUUUAUUUUCUCUCUUUUCUCUCUUUGCUUUCUUUGCUUUUUCUCUUUUUUUUCUCUCUUUUCUCCCUCCCCCCCCCCCCUCCUGCAGCGGCCAUGGCGGAGAGGAGCGCGGUGCCGGCACCGGGCCGCUGCCGGGGGCGGGGGGGGGGGGCGGCGGAGCAGCGCUCGGCGGAGCCCACAGGGUUUGAGCCUGAAAUGCUCUGGAGCCAGACUCACGGGAGACAGCAAGACAGUCUGUGCUGGAGCUUCUCCUCCCCAAAAUUUCAGCUACUGCUUGAUGAAUUAAACAUGUCCAAGCAUUCGUUUCAUCAGUGUGCGCUCCACUAGACUGCUUUCGAGGCUUUUUUUAUGUUCCACCUUCAGAAAACUAGAGAGGAACUGGGAAAUCCUUGAUGUGCAGCUUGUGAACAUGGAAGUUACAGGGAAACGCUGAUUUCAGAAGAAAGGCAGCUACGUGCAGAGGCGUGCUUGGGGGAGGAUAUUCUUAAGUUCCUAAUUACAGGAGGGGAUUUUAUAUAUUUUAUCUUCAAGAAACUGUGAAAAACUCCUGAACUGAACAGCUGAGUGGUGCUGCUGCACAUCUUAAAGACAUGUGUGAAUCAGAAGACAGGCAGAAGAGCGGUGUGGAGGAUGUUCUGGAUGAUAAUGGAUGUCUAAGUGAUAAUGGGCUUGAAGCAUAAUUAAUGUUAAUGGAUAGCAUUUAUAUGUAAUGCAGAGAACAUGUUCUGAAAGACAGAUACAAAAAUAGAUUUUUUUUUUUAAAGACAUUAAGUUUUAAACUCUGAGGACUAGACAUGGGAGCUACUAUGCAGUUAUUUUAUGCAUCUUAUCUACAGAAAAACCUUGUUCUUUAGAAGCUUGUGGGGACUGGGAAAUGUGUGGCCUAAUUUUUUUCACAUCCUGACAAAGGAGGGAUGCUCCAUCUACCUGGCAGUGUCAUUAGGCUGAUAUGGCUGAGUAUUUUUAUUUUUUUUUGUGCAUUGAAAUCCAGCAACAAAGAUGAUCAGAGCUGGAAUAAUAAAAAUAAAAAUGAAGAGGUGCCCUGUAGAGGGUAUGCAAUGUCAGGGAGGAGGUAGUAAUAACAGCUGUGAGGAGGGAACUAGUAAAAUUGGCUUGUGUGAUUGUAAGUACUCAUCGGUUUGUGCCCUUCUGGCAGUGCUGGUUGUGCUGCUUUCUCUAUGAGCAGUCCCCUGAGGAUUCACGCUAUUGAAGGAUCAAGGGAGAGGAGCCUUCCCUCUGGCUCAGGUGGCAGAUGGGGAUGCUCUUGGGGCUGGAAAUCUCUGAUGCAGCACUAGUCAUGAUUCAUUAUAGCAGUCCUUAGACUGGAAACAUAAUUUUCCCAUGCGCAGUGAUGUUAAACUCUUCAGAGUGGUUGUAUUGUAGCACCUUUGUGGUACUGCCGCCCAUGCUGGCUGGGUAUCGCCAGAUAUUUAUAGAUAUGGAAUAAUUCUUCUCCGGUAACAAGACUUGGAGAGAAAGAGCUGUGUGUCUGUGUCAUGAACUACUUGCAGCUAGACUGCACAAAUACUUACUACUUGCUUUCAUUUGUAUUCCUUGGGUAUAAAUUUAUUAAUGGUCACUGUAUAUUUUCCACCAAAUAUUUCAUGGAUAGCAACUUUCCAUGAAUAUUUACCAUCCGUAUUUCAGACUAUUUCGUUUCUAUGGCAAACAUUUCAUUACAUUAAAUUUUGCUGUGUACUGUGUAGGGCUAAUGAUUUUUUCAAAAGAAAAAUGGGCAUAGAGUUUCAUGAGAAUAUUAUGAGGAACGGGCUUUUUUUUGUUGUAUGGAAUUCUUCAGACCUUUAAUUUAAUAUAAUUUUAGAAAAAACAGACUCAGAUGCUAAACAUUUGUACCUUUGCUCAAGGGACUGUAUGCUAGCAAGCAAUGGUUCCUACUUAUUUAUGGGAGGACUACACAAAUAGGGCUGAAAAGAUUUAAAAAAAAAAAAAGAAAUUGAAAAACAGGUACUGAGUGCUGGUCUCUCAUGCACACAAUGUGCCCCAAAGAGCUUUUAUUACUAUGCUAGUGCAUUGCAGACCACAAGAUUGCAUUUCUUCCUCCCUUCCUCAGACAACCCCACUGGGGAAAAGGCACUUACUACGAGGUGUAGAGUCUUCCAAACACAGAGGAAGAUCACGCUGGAUUGAUACAGCCUGUCCUUCCUCCUGGCACGUCCCUUCAGUUCUGUGUUAGGGAGACUCCGGCGACAAACCAUCCCAAAAUCCAGGGGAAGAGCUUUACAUCAGCGACGCUUUGUGGGGCACACUCCAACGUACCCUGAGCGAGUGACGUGGCCGUGUACCAACCCCAGGCAAUGAAACGACCAUGGGAGACGGAGAUCUCUGCACUGCAGAAGCAGGAGAGAGCACUCAGCAGCGCGGAAAGGCACAGACCUUUCUGUGUUACCUCUCCGAAAGACAUGGAGCAGUGCUGGGUGCCCCGGGGGCUCAGAGAGGAGCUGGGAGGUUAAAGGAGAUGUCCAGCAUCGUGUUUUUUAUCUGGGUCUGGUCCAGGGCUAAGGUGGCUGCUAAGAUGGGGUGGGUGCCUUUUGUGGCUAUUAAGAGGUCUGCAUUUUAGAAAACCCCAAGUGCUCUCCUUCCAGCGGUCAUCUCUCUCGGAGUUGCUUCAAAUCGAGAGCCUAAAAAUAAAGACAAAUGAAAUCACAGUCAGUCUGCGGUAGAUAGCGGGCAGUCUGUUCCUGUUGGCAGAUGUUGGUGGCUUGCACGUCUCGGUGCGCGUGUAAUGGCUCUGCUGUUAUCUUUUGCAACUCCAGAAAGACUAUCCACAGAAGUGUGUCGGUUUUGCUUUUUUUUUUUUUUUUUUAAAGCAAACUGGCUCAGUUCCUUCUUUCAUCUGAAACUGCAGGACCCUCCUUUGUUUCAGUGACUGCCCGUUGGGAAAUACCGCCCCGUGUGCCCCGAGCCUUGUGCCUGAUAGAAAAUGACCCACUGACAGCACCUCAGAGGAAAAAAGCCCAGAUGAUCUCUCCCUUUUCCCCCCGCCAGAAACAGCCUCGCCGCUUGGCAGUCACCGUCCGGGGAGAUGGCAGCUGUGCUGCUAAAACAGCUUUAUUGACGCCCAGUGCAAACAGCCAAGGGCCUGCCUGGCUCCCGGACAUCACUCAUCAACAGCCUCUCCCAUACAUCCUAAUAAAGGCUCCGUGGCCGCGGGGACCGAGACGAGGAGCGCAGGUGCUCCCCGGCCCCUCCGCCUGCUCAGCGAUCGAUAAGGCAUUGCAGGGAGGGUCUUGAUGAGAAAUCUAUUGGUAAAAGCGAUGUUUCACUAAUGGCAAGCAGGGUAGCUGCCAAGAUCUUCAAGGGGAAUUCAACCUCUGGCUUUUAGCUGGGUAAUACUCAUUUCAGAUAUGGGGAAAAGACAGGAUGAGAUAUGUACGUACGAACGGUAUCUAUUGGGUUUUUCUUAUUUCUGGCAAGAUCUUUAAAGUAGUCAGAUGCAAUGGCAGGUGUAAGAUGACAUUACUGUAAAUGAGGAUCGGGACCCCGUGGACUUUGAGCCACUAAGUGCUUGUGUUUUGCCUGCAGGCAGCUCUGGUUUAGCUCUGGUACAUCAGUCACAAAAUGGGGAAUCGGGAAUGUUGUACCCCAUCCUGCAGACCCUCGGCCUCGGUGCCAGUCCCUGCUCACCCUGCGGGCUUCGGUGGCCCUGCUCACCAGGGGAUGCAGCUGAUGUAUCAGACCUCGUGUCUGGGAAGGCGUCUUCCCACCAGUCUCGUGAUGCGCUGCUCAUGUUUUGGACGUGAAGGGUCAAAGGAGAUGCAGUAAAGGAUGUAAAGUUUGCUCACAGCUUGCUCACCUUCUGCUUUCUCUGCAGGCACCUGUCGAAAGAUGGAUGGUUCAGUCUUUAGGACACCAAGCUCUGGUUAAGGAGACUGAGGUUUCUUUCUCUGUUCUGCUCAACGUGUUCUUUGGGAUAAACCUAAAUUCUCUGCCUGUAAAAUGCGGGUAACAGUAAUUGUCUCCUCAGAGAGUUACCAGAACGAGAAAUGCACUAGACAGUUUUGGACCCCAGAUGCCCUGGAAGGCGCUAAAUCCUACUUGCUUUUAUAAUGAGUUCCCUACAUAGCCCGUCGCAGGUUUACAGUAUAUCUCAUUCCUGUAGAUUAUCACUGCUUGAAAUAUUACAGCAUGUGUCAGGCCAAAACUUGCUUUCCUGGCUCAGUGUUUUAUUGCUUUCUUGAGCAGACUCUACCUCCUCCCGUUAAUCAGAAAAGUCUUAGUCAUCCGCAGCGUGCUGACCACAACGAAAAACCCGGCUGCAAGAAGGCUCCAGGGCUGGCACCAGCUCAGGUAAACUUUGUCUGCCUCCUGGCUUGCGUUGGACCAUCUGCAUCUCCUUUUCCACCAUUUGCUGAGCACCAUGUGGAGUUUUUCUUUCUUCAAACUUCACGGCUUUUUUCACCAGACAAGAUUUGCCCUGGCUGUACUGCUGGGUCCUCAUCUUUUACUCAAUAAUUGAUAACCAGAGGGUCUGAGAAAGCCGUUCUUCCCACCUCUGACUCUUGGAUCUCCCCUGCCCAGCGCUGCUGAGGCAGCGCCUUGAUGCGAUACACUCUCUGGCCCUUUGGGAGAUGAAUAAGGCUACUCACAUUAUAACAACAGCUGUGCAGAAGUGAGAGGUCAGUGCUUUUAGCCAUCACUAACACCCUCUGGGCACUUAACAGACAAGGGGUGGAGAAAAACCAAUUCUACAAACUUUUUGAUUGACUGCAUGUUUUUGUGUGCGAAUCUCAAUGCUAUUCACUGACAAUAUUGAUCUUGAUAUCCAGAGCAGAUGGGCACAGCAGGUAAGAUUCUAAGAUGAAUGCAGGAGGCAGACCAGUGCCCUGAUACCAGGGAAUGACUGCCACCUCAGAGACCCCUAUGUAUUUAGGGUCAGAUUCCCUGAAAGCAUACAUGCCCGGUUCCUCUGAAGGCAGACCUGCUGGAGGGAGCAGAUGCUUAGCUGGUGCAAAUCAGCUUUGGUUUGCAAAUCUAUUACAGUUUCAAGGAAUUCCCAGUUUUAUGUCAGGGGAAAAUCAAGCCCACAUGGACCAAUUUCUGUGAGUUGCCAGUCUUGGUGAGUCUUAAGUUUUAGAUCAGGCUCUACGCCUGUAAACUUGUUAAGAGCAGCAGCCAAGCUGCUACUUAGAAGCUGCAGCUCAGACGUCACUGCCCAGCCUGGUGGCAGGUCCCCGAAAGAGCCGCUGGCUGCAGCCAGCAUCGUUCAUCAUCCAUCAGACCUCACCCAGGAACAAACUUCCCUCGGCUCCCUGCCGCCUUCCUGGCGUGGGCUGUCACGAAAGCAAAAGCCUCCCGCGCAGGAAAACAUUUCUGUUAUUAAAGGUCUCGCCUGCUCUUUACGCAUGCUGCCCUUUCUGAGCAUUGCUGCUGAGUUGAUGUAUUAUUCUCAUUCCCCCUCCUGCCCCGACAUGUCAUUGGCAGGGAGUUUUCUUUACUGUGCAUCACUUGGUGAGAAAGUGGGGCUUGGAUGUGCAUCAGCUCUCAUUAAUCAAAAUAGUUCAGUCUCCUCUGUGCUGCAGCCUGGUAGCUGAUUGCCAUUUGCUUUUUUUUUUAUAUGCUAUCCAGAGACAGAGCCUGACGGGAGCCCUGGGCUCCGCAGGGAUCCCCUGAGCUCGGGGCAGAGCCCGGUGAGGCAAUGUCUGCUCGGGGCUGCGUCAGCGUGCCCUGCGAUGGGAGACACGGCCGUAAUGCCACCAAGGACACUGCAGAAACAGCAGAGGCAUCUGCCAGGGAACACAGGAGCUCAGGAGAAGGGGGUGUUUCCUUUUUAAUGCGCUGUUCCUUGGUCGUGGAGCAGAUUUUUCCUUUUAAAGGGACAAAACCAAGCAAAUAAAUAAAUAAAUGCGCCUUUCGUUUUCUGUCAGAUUAAAUGCUUUCGUGUAAUUGUGCAUUAACCUUCGGUCCUGCAUUAGGCUGCUGUUGCUUUGCACCCUUGAUGCCUUUAAGCCAGGAUUGCAAUUAGCCAAAGUGGCUCUUGACAGCCUUCCAGGCAACCCCGUACUGGGGGCCACAUUCCCGAGGGGAGAUGGAGCUCUCAUGGCUCACCAGAGGCGUCUGGCCCGGAGGAGGCUGGAAAAGGAGGCACCUCCUCAGCAGGCUGGGGCUAAAUGGAGACUUCGGAGUGUAGGGGGGGUCAAGGUGGCUUUCAGGCUGAAAAGCUUCCUGCUCAGAUGCAUUUCUUUGCUGAACUCCCACUCCCACAAAUUAGAUUAUGAGAGUGCAGGGACCCUCCCCUGGGUCUUGAUAUACAGCAGGGAUAUUUAUAGGAAAAGCUUUUUAAUAGCCUGAGUUGAAAAAUCCGGUUUAAAACAAGCCCAUCCCCAGAUAAUUCAAUAACCCAGCUAUGACUAAGAAUAUUGAUCAGGCACUCAAGCCUCCUCCCACCCUCACUUCCACGGGAGGCAGAAACCACGCACCCGAGCCGGCUGAAUUUGGGAAUUACCACCGACUCGCCCGGCAGGACGAGGUGCAGGGAUUGCCCUGGGGAAUAGGUAGCGGGUCCCUCCUUUGCUAGGUGUAAGUGUUGGCUGGCUGGGUGCCACACAGCGAUAUGAACCAUAGCUGCUGGGGGAUGGCGUGACCUGCCAACACAGCCACCCGCUCUUCUCUUUCGUGGCCCGAAGGAAAUAUUCACGGGGGAGAUUUUCCUGCCACUCCCGAGCACUGCAGUGGAUGCAGCACUGCACACAGAGCCGUUCGCUGUGGCUGGUUGCAUCCACUGACUUUUAAAAUAGCCUAGUUUGACUUAAAGCUCACAUUUCCUGCCUAAAAUAUGUUUUUAAAAAAUUACACAGGGAUUUUUAUGGGAUGUUUUCUUUUCAGACGUCAUGUCUGUACUCAGUGGUUAUUCUGGAGAGCUGCUUACUCCCAGAAACCUCAGCUUCUCUGAAAGCCCAUGUAGAUAAAAACAAGUGAAUAAGGGUAAAACAUUCAGGGUGAAACAUUUCAAAUUUUCUGUUCAAAAUGUGUUUUAUUUUUUAUUAUUAUAAAACCUGUUUAAAAUAAAGCAUUAAAGUUGCUCCUAAA